GGCUUCGUGGUGUAGUGGUCAGCACGCUCGGCGGGUAUUCAAGAAUUCCGUGGUUCGAGUCCCGGCGAGGGCA
rnacentral:tRNA from 1 species